rnacentral:rRNA from 1 species
UACGUAGGGAGCAAGCGUUGUUCGGAUUUACUGGGCGUAAAGGGCGCGUAGGCGGCCACCGCAAGUCAGUUGUGAAAUCUCUGGGCUUAACCCAGAACGGUCAGCUGAUACUGCGGGGCUAGAGUGCAGAAGGGGCAACUGGAAUUCUCGGUGUAGCGGUGAAAUGCGUAGAUAUCGAGAGGAACACCUGCGGCGAAGGCGGGUUGCUGGGCUGACACUGACGCUGACAGCGCGAAAGCUAGGGGAGCGAACGGG